CCUGUGUCUGCAUACCCUGAUGUUCGGUGCCCAGCUUAGAGAAGGAGAAGGGGCUUACCUACUGCAGACACCUGUCCACUGAGAGGACCCACUUGUCAUCCCUGGUCAAUUACAUGAUCAUGUCUCUGGACUUGCCCUGUGAUGCUGGACAGGAGCUGACAGCCGGGAUCUGGGAGCAAUACCUUCAGGAUAGCACAGCAAGGUUUAGCUGGGCUUGAUCUGCAGUGGUGUAGAGGCUGCAAAGGAGGGGCGAUUUUGUUAUGUGAGAAAUAAGCCCACCUACUUGUGGGGACUCAAGAUGACUUGUUUGGAUUCUGCAUAUGCAAAUUGAAGAUCUCCUCCUCUUCUUGAGAGUUCCAAGACCCACAACUCACUUUUGCCCGUGAGUGUGGAGAUUGAAGGGGAUGGAAAACAUGCUCACCUGGGAUGAAUAAAGAGAAAGUCAGUGAGUAAGUAUUUAUUAUGAAGCAUUAGUUUGUAUCACUCCUGCACAAGGUGCUGAGACAUGGCCCCAGCCAGAAGGAAUUUACAGUCCAGUCAAAACUGCCUAGAAGUGUGACAGCAGCUGAGUUGGAGGGAGGCAGCUGAACCAAGAAAACCUUAUCAGCACUAUUUGAAACUUUUAUCUCAUCUGGCUUGGCGCCUGAGGUUCUCCCAUUAGGGGUCCAGCUUCAUCCUUUUGCAUGUGGAUAUCCAGUUCUCCCAGCACCAUUCUUCAAAGAAAUGAGUGUUUUCCCCACUGAAUGGUCUUGUACCUAAGUUUUUACUCAGCUCGGUGAAAACGUGCUCUCACUGAUGAGGCUGAUAAGGUUUUGUCUUGAAUUGGGACCUGGGAAUAGUGCUGGUAAUUUGGAGAUGACAUGAACAUUUAUUUGGGGCUACCCCAGUGCUCUCUGCUGGUUGAGCAACUGCGCCAUCCAGCCAGUUGGAAGGUUUGUAAUGAGGGAGCUGAAUGAGACAGAGACGAGAAGAAAGGGCGAAAGUGGAAGAACUGCAUCAAGAAUUCAGGAGUGAAGAGGGAGCAAUUCUCCUGAACAUUCCAUGAAAUAAUCUAAAUAAAACCACCUAGUACCAAGCCUGCCCUGUAGGAGAUGCUUGGUGAUGUUCUGGUUGUCUUUGAGUCAAGAUGGAGUCCAUCUGGGUCGGAAAGAUAAAAUGACAAUCUUGCUGAAGUUUUUCUCCAUCCGAGGUGGAAGUGAGAUUUCCCACUCAUGCUCUCCAGCGCUUGGACUUGCUUUUGGGACCAGCUCUGAUGAACCUGUGUACACUGAGUUGCAAGUGAUGGACAAUAGCUCAGACCAACAGUCCACAGUGGUUUGCUAAGAAGGCCAUUUUCAACUCUCCACUGGAGGCUUUUAUGGCGUUCCCUCACCUGCAGCGGCCCAGCUUUCUACUGGAGCUGCACGCCAUCUCCCCAUGGCUGGUAGCAUUUUCGGCAGCCUGGAUGGUGUCCUUGUGGGCUGGAACCUGCGCUGCUUACAGAGGCGCGUGAAUCCUGUGAAGUACAGCAUGGUGAUGGAAUUUCUCGACCCUGGGAAGAGAUGGGGUUUCACUAUAUUGGCCAAGUUGGUCUGGAACUCCUGACCUUGUGAUCUGCCCACCUCGGCCUCCCAAAGUGCUGGGAUUACAGGCGUGAGCCACCAUACCUGGCCUGUCUGCAGCUUUUUAUGAGAUGGUGGAAGUUCUGAGCAAAGACUCUUGUUGAGGCACUGCUCAGGAGCAGGGCACUGUCCCCACAGGGUCUCGUGAAGGCAUCCAUCCAGGAGUGCGUCCUUGACAGUCCUCUGUAACACAAGAUCCAGUUCCGCCCAACUAAGGGCCUUGGCCUGAACCUGGCCUUGAAUCCGUUCGAGUAUUACAUAUGCUUCUUUGCCUUGAGCCUCAACACACUAAAGGACACCAGCCAUGCCCUUUGCUUCCUGUAGCCUCCAGCACACUAGCCCCCUGAAGCGACACUUCUCUCAUCAGAUGUCUGUGAAUGCAGACCCCGCCUCCCAGGAGAUCUGGAGGUCAGAAACUCUGCUCCGGGUGAGAGCUGAGCUGGUCUCAACGUCUGUUUCAAAAGAAACUGGUCAGCCAUCUUCCACUAUAUGGGUCAGAGUCCCAGA
ensembl:lncRNA novel transcript